rnacentral:tRNA from 1 species
GGGAAGGUGGCUCAAUGGUAGAGAGCUUGCCUUGCAUGCAUGAGGUCCUGGGUUCGAUUCCUCAUUACCA